UCACAACAUAAACAAAAACCAGCUGUCUUCCACUAGGCAAUUUCAUUAACAAGCGUAAACAAAUCAGUUUCACACGUGCGGUACGACAGUCAAAUUGGUUUUAAGUUCGUGUUCUAAGUUUAUAAUUCGGUUCCGUUGUGUUUAUAACGCGCCAUUUUACGUGAGUGUGUGUGUUUUUCUUUGUGCAUCCUUUUAGUGAAAAAAGUUUUCCUUGAAAUGCCUAUCGUUGAUACCGGUGAUUUAGUCAAUUUACAAAAAAAUAUCGAAAGUGUGCGUAAUAUUUGUAUAUUGGCCCAUGUUGAUCAUGGAAAAACUACUCUAGCCGAUUCGCUCGUGGCCAGUAAUGGCAUUAUAUCGCAGCGUAUGGCGGGAAAAUUACGCUAUUUGGAUAAUCGUCAAGAUGAACAGGAACGUGGUAUAACUAUGAAGAGCAGCAGUAUUUCCCUGUUCUAUCAAAGUGUUGCAGAUCAUAGGAACUUUUUGGUGAAUUUGAUUGAUUCACCGGGUCACGUAGAUUUCUCUAGUGAAGUUUCUACAGCGGUGAGAUUGUGUGAUGGCGCUAUUGUGGUGGUAGAUGUAGUCGAGGGUGUUUGUCCUCAAACAAGGGCUUGUCUGCAACAAGUUUAUGUUGAACAAUUGAAGCCAGUGUUGGUUUUAAAUAAAAUCGAUCGUCUUAUUUUGGAAAAGCAAAUGACGCCUUUAGAUGCUUAUUUCCAUAUUACCCAAGUACUGGAACAGGUUAAUGCAGUUUUGGGCAGCAUCUUUGCUUCUGAUGUUUUGGCUAAAGAGGAUAUUAGUCAUAAGGAUAACUAUGAGUCAGCCUUAGAGGAUAGUGAUGAUUCACAUUUAUAUUUUUCUCCUGCUUCGGGCAAUGUUGCCUUUUGCUCGGCUUAUGAUGGUUGGGCUUUUAGGGUACGUGACUUUGCUGCUACUUAUGCUGAAAAAUUGGAGAUGUCUAUUGAAGAUUUGGAACAAGUUUUAUGGGGUGAUUACUUCUAUAAUGCAAAAAAGAAAUGCGCAAUUGCUGGUGCUCAGGAAAAGGCUAAAAAGCCAAUGUUUGUUCAAUUUGUUUUGGAAAAUAUAUGGAGUCUGUAUGAUACUAUUGUUGUAAGAAAGGAUAAGGAUAAAAUACCAGUUAUUGCCGAAAAAUUGGGGAUUAAACUACUAGCUCGUGAUCUACGCGUUGGUGAUCCUAAAGCACAAAUCAAAACUGUUCUUGGUCAAUGGUUACCCAUUGAUCGUACAAUUUUAGAAAUGGUGGUAAAACAUGUGCCAGCCCCCAAUAGUAUAAACGAUGAUAGAGCUCAGCGUUUACUCUACCCUGAAAAUGUCGAUUUGAAUACAUAUCCCAGCGAAUCUUUGGUCCUUAAAGAAGACUUUAAAAAAUGUGAUGCUCAAUCCUCGAAUAUAAUAGUAUUUGUAUCGAAAAUGACACCAGUUCAUGUUACACAAUUGCCGCAAAAUAAACCAAAACGUUUAACCGAUCAAGAGUUACAGGCGAGACGUGAUGAAGUACGCAAACGUAUUGAGGAACGUAAACAGUUGGCUGCCCAAAGUACGGAGGUGGAAAGUAUCACAGCUGGAGUACAACAAAUGACUACAGAGGAAAAGCAACAACACGAGGAGGAGGAGAAAGAAAAGGCAAUUGAACAAAAGGAGGAAGAAGAAAAGCCUGAAUUUGUAUUUAUAGCUUUUGCUAGAAUUUUUAGUGGAACUUUAAAAAAGGGCAUGAAAUUGUAUAAUUUGGCACCAAAACAUGAUCCUAGAAAUAAAGACUCUCUCUCCCUGGAUUCUCCUUAUAUAACCGAAGUAACCAUUGGUGAUUUGUACCUCUUUAUGGGGGGUGAACUACAGGCUUUAGAUGAAGUGCCUGCCGGCAACAUAGUGGGCAUUGGAGGUCUAGAACAGAGUAUUGUUAAAACCAGCACUCUAAGUAGCACCAUGUACUGUACUUCCUUUAGUGAGUUGAGUGUUAUGGCUACACCCAUAUUUCGGGUAGCCAUAGAACCGGUUAAUCCCUCCGAAAUGCCUAAAUUAAUUAAAGGCCUUAAAUUACUUAAUCAAGCCGACGCUUGCGUACAAGUAUCACUAGAAGCUACAGGAGAACAUGUCAUCACUACUCUGGGUGAAGUUCAUGUUGAAAAAUGUGUUCAUGAUUUGCAGGAGAGUUAUGCCAAAAUUAAAGUAAAUGUCUCUAAACCCAUUGUAUCAUUCCGUGAGACCAUAGUGCCAGAAGCUACUGUCGAUAUGGUCAAUGAAGCCAUAGUAAAAACAUCUGAAGAUAAGGAUAUUUCUAAAAAAAUUGUCACAAUGACUACCCUCAACAAACUGUCCACUAUUAAAGUUAUAGCCUUGCCUUUGCCACAAAAUGUAAUAGAUAUAAUUGAAAAAUAUCAAACCUUUAUUAAGGAAUUUUCCACUACCGCAAAGUUGUCGAAUGUAUCGGAAAAAUCAAGACAACUGCUACAGCAAGUAAAAUCACAACUUUCAACAGCCUUCAAGGAUUUCGAUACCAAUGGCUUAACCAGUCUCUCGACCGAAGAACUAAUUGCACGAAUUUGGUCUUUAGGGCCACGUCAUUGUGGCUCUAACAUAUUGCUCAACUUAAGUGAUUAUGAACAUCCCAGCUUUUGGUGGCCCUUAUUAAAUUCUACGGAAGAUUUGGAUUCACCUAAAUCGUCUGAUGUUAGACGUGAUUAUAACAGUUCCUUUGUUAAUGGAUUUCAAUUGACCACCUCCGCUGGUCCACUGUGUGAAGAGCCAAUGCAAGGUGUUUGUUUUGUGGUUUUAGAGUGGUCUGUUGAGGCUUCGGAUGAGUUGAAUUCAAAGGCUUACGGUCCCUUUUCCGGACAAGUUUUAACCGCUUCUAAGGAAGCCUGUCGUCAAGCUUUCCAGAAUCAACCACAACGUUUAGUCAGUCCUAUGUAUAGCUGUAAUAUUGUUGUUAAUGCUGAAGUAUUGGAUUUUCUUUUCAGCUUUCCUGUCUUUUCUUGGCUAAUAGUUCAUAAUUUUGUUGGUAACAUUUCUAACGGAUAUCCGGCUUUUUUUCUCAAAAAUAUCUAUAAAAAACUGCAACAACACACUUAGACGACAAUCAACAGCAAAAACCCAAAUCAACAUCAUGUUUUUCCUUAGUCUUGCAUUAACACUGUUAAUAAUGUGGUUGCUGUCUGAUGUUUAGGUCUAUUCAAAAACCAAUCUUAGACUUACGUUCUACAUUGAUUCUAAAGAUGCGUUUGAGAAUCAAUGACGAAACGAACUAACAUCUAAAUAUAAAUAUUUAUCUUUGAAGCAUCUUAUACUUUUACCACUAUCACUGGUGCAUAUAAUUAUUGAUGAAGGAAGAACUAAAUACUUGUGUACCAAAAGACCAGAUGAAAAGAGGAAAUAACAAAUUUUCUUGUUAAAGUUGAUCGAAACAUUCGACAGUGGUUUGAUUAAAAGAAGUUCUAGAACUUAAUGAU